UACGUAGGGGGCAAGCGUUGUCCGGAUUUAUUGGGCGUAAAGAGCGUGUAGGCGGCCUGAAAGGUCAGCUGUGAAAACUCGAGGCUCAACCUCGAGACGUCGGUUGAAACCAUCUGGCUAGAGUCCGGAAGAGGAGUGUGGAAUUCCCGGUGUAGCGGUGAAAUGCGCAGAUAUCGGGAAGAACACCCGUGGCGAAGGCGGCCCCCUGGGUCAAGAUUGACGCUCAUGCACGAAAGCGUGGGGAGCAAACAGG
rnacentral:rRNA from 1 species